CCCUUAGAUGUUCUGGGCUGCACGCGCGCUACACUGAUGCGCUCAACGAGUUUUAACCUUGCCUGGAAAGGUUGGGUAAUCUUUUUAAAACGCAUCGUGAUGGGGAUAGAUUAUUGCAAUUAUUAAUCUUCAACGAGGAAUUCCUAGUAAGCGCGAGUCAUCAGCUCGUGCUGAUUACGUCCCUGCCCUUUGUACACACCGCCCGUCGCUCCUACCGAUUGAACGUUUUAGUGAGGUAUUUGGACUGGACCUUCGGAGGUUCGCGCCUCCGUUGCUGUUCGGGAAGACUCCCAAACUUGAGCGUUUAGAGGAAGUAAAAGUCGUAACA
rnacentral:rRNA from 1 species